UCCCGGUGCAAUGAGACUAGC
rnacentral:misc_RNA from 1 species